GAUGUAGAAGACGGCACGGCGCCGUCUGUUAUGAUUUUUUGGAAGUACCUUAAUUUGAAGAAAUUUACGCAUAAACACCCCCUUACAACCCCUUUUAAGUAGCCUAAAAAGUAGCCUAUGUCCU